rnacentral:piRNA from 1 species
UAUAAGAGACAUUUCGAAUCA